UACGACUACAUAUCAGGCAUAUCAAUAAGCGGAGGAAAAGAAACUAACUAGGAUUCCCUUAGUAACGGCGAGUGAAGCGGGAAGAGCUCAAAUUUGAAAUCUUCAAGGUUUUACCUUGACGAAUUGUAGUUUAAAGAAGUGUUUUCUGUUGAAGUUUUGGUAAAAGUUCUUUGGAAUAGGACAUCAUAGAGGGUGAGAAUCCCGUAUUUGACCAUUAUUUUCAGCUGUGUGAUACACUUUCAAAGAGUCGGAUUGUUUGGGAAUGCAGUCCAAAAUGGGUGGUAAAUUUCAUCUAAAGCUAAAUAUUGGCGAGAGACCGAUAGCGAACAAGUACCGUGAGGGAAAGAUGAAAAGAACUUUGAAAAGAGAGUUAAACAGUACGUGAAAUUGUCAAAAGGGAAGCGUUUGACACCAGUGUUGUUUUCUCGAAAAUCAAUUAAAAAUAGUUGGAUUUUGUGUUGUAUUGACCUUAACAGCUUGCUUCACUCUUUUCCAGCUUUUUUUAAUGCACUUUUCGUUUAACAAGUCAACAUCAGUUUCUUUUGUUGUAAAAGGGUCAUUGGAAGGUGGCUUUCUCUUCGGAGAAAGUGUUUAUAGCCUUUGAUCUCUGCAAUCGGAGAGACUGAGGUCUGCAGCGUAGAUCCUUCUGGAUUAGAUACAUUUGUGCUAAGCUACAGCUUUUCAUAGACAACUUGUUGACUAUGCUUAGUCUUGCAACUUACCCGCUUAUGCUAUUUUACCUACGCUUAGGAUGUUGAGCGCAUGUCUCUCUCU
rnacentral:rRNA from 1 species